AUUGAACGCUGGCGGCAUGCCUUACACAUGCAAGUCGAACGGCAGCGCGGGGCAACCUGGGCGGCGAGUGGCGAACGGGUGAGUAACAUAUCGGAACAUACCCUAGAGUGGGGGAUAACGUAGCGAAAGUUACGCUAAUACCGCAUACGCACUAAGGUGGAAAGUGGGGGAUCUUCGGACCUCAUGCUCAUGGAGUGGCCGAUAUCUGAUUAGCUAGUUGGUGAGGUAAAGGCUCACCAAGGCGACGAUCAGUAGCUGGUUUGAGAGGACGACCAGCCACACUGGGACUGAGACACGGCCCAGACUCCUACGGGAGGCAGCAGUGGGGGAAUUUUUGGACAAUGGGCGCAAGCCUGAUCCAGCAAUGCCGCGUGCAGGAUGAAGGCCUU
rnacentral:rRNA from 1 species